UACGUAGGGUGCGAGCGUUGUCCGGAAUUACUGGGCGUAAAGAGCUCGUAGGUGGUUUGUCGCGUUGUUCGUGAAAACUCACAGCUCAACUGUGGGCGUGCGGGCGAUACGGGCAGCCUGGAGUACUGCAGGGGAGACUGGAAUUCCUGGUGUAGCGGUGGAAUGCGCAGAUAUCAGGAGGAACACCCGUGGCGAAGGCGGCUCUCUGGGACGGUACUGACGCUGAGACGCGAAAGCGUGGGGAGCGAACAGG
rnacentral:rRNA from 1 species